UACAGAGGUGGCAAGCGUUGUUCGGAAUUACUGGGCGUAAAGGGCGCGUAGGCGGUUCGUUAAGUCCUGUGUGAAAUCCCCCGGCUCAACUGGGGAACUGCACAGGAAACUAGCGGGCUUGAGUUCGGGAGAGGGAAGCGGAAUUCCGGGUGUAGCGGUGAAAUGCGUAGAUAUCCGGAGGAACACCGGUGGCGAAGGCGGCUUCCUGGACCGACACUGACGCUG
rnacentral:rRNA from 1 species